AUUGAACGCUGGCGGCAGGCUUAACACAUGCAAGUCGAACGGUAGCAGGAGAAAGCUUGCUUUCUUGCUGACGAGUGGCGGACGGGAGGGUAAUGCUUGGGAAUCUGGCUUAUGGAGGGGGAUAACUAAGGGGAACUGUAGCUACUACCGCGUAAUAUCGGAAGAUUAAAGUGUGGGAGCUUCGGGCCUCAUGCCUUAAGAUAGGCCCAAGUGGGAUUAGGUAGUUGGUGGGGUAAAGGCCUACCAAGGCGACGAUCUCUAGCUGGUCUGAGAGGAUGACCAGUCACACUGGAACUGAGACACGGUCCAGACUCCUACGGGAGGCAGCAGUGGGGAAUAUUGCGCAAUGGGGGGAACCCUGACGCAGCCAUGCCGCGUGAGUGAAGAAGGCCUUCGGGUUGUAAAGUUCUUUCAGUAGGGAGGAAGGGAUGUGAGCUAAUACCGCACGUCAUUGACGUUAAAUACAGAAGAAGCACCGGCUAACUCCGUG
rnacentral:rRNA from 1 species